GGUAGGAUGGCUGAUAAAAGCGGUAGAUUGUAAAUUUACUAAUGGGGUUCCCUCUUGCCA
rnacentral:tRNA from 1 species